UAUUGCACAAUGGGCGAAAGCCUGAUGCAGCAACGCCGCGUGCGCGAUGAAGGCCUUCGGGUCGUAAAGCGCUUUUCGGGGGGAUGAGGAAGGACAGUACCCCCGGAAUAAGUCUCGGCUAACUACGUGCCAGCAGCCGCGGUAAAACGUAGGAGGCAAGCGUUAUCCGGAUUUAUUGGGCGUAAAGCGCGUGUAGGCGGCUCGGUCAGUCGGACGUGAAAUCUCCUGGCUCAACUGGGAGGGGCCGUUCGACACUACCGGGCUUGAGGGCAAGAGAGGGAGGUGGAAUUCCGGGUGUAGCGGUGAAAUGCGUAGAUAUCCGGAGGAACACCUGUGGCGAAAGCGGCCUCCUGGCUUGCCCCUGACGCUCAGACGCGAAAGCUAGGGGAGCGAACGGGAUUAGAAACCCCGGUAGUCCUAGCUGUAAACGAUGCAGACUUGGUGUUGGUGGCUUAAACCCCAUCAGUGCCGCAGCUAACGCGAUAAGUCUGCCGCCUGGGGACUACGACCGCAAGGUUA
rnacentral:rRNA from 1 species